UGCAGAAAACUUGGAGUUCACUGAUACCCGUUGGCUGAAUGAAGAGGAGCUGGAGACCUGUCCCAGUGUUGUCCAGGAUUAGAGAUUUUCUUUUCGGGCAUAAUUGAAAAGCACUUAUGAUACAGAAUUUGGUCUGCAUAUCUGCAAGAAGAAUUUUUAAAUCAGCUGGCUUUCUGGGGGAAUGAUUCAUUGUGUGCCCAGAUUCUCUCUGUUUCUCAAUUAAGAAGCUAUGAAUUGAAAACUGGCAUCGACUUUUCACAAUACUGCAAGGUCUGGAUCCCCUUGGGCUUUCAUCCCUCCUGCAACUGAACACUUCAACCUUCAAAAAUUUGUUUUGGCUUUUGAGGCAGUUUAUUCUUUCAUCCAUACCCAGAUACCUCAGGAGGAAUGCUGCUGAAGUUGGAUUGAGCAACCUGGUCUGAAAUAAGUUUGACUUCCCGCUCUGAAUGGCAGGAUGCACCAGAGGAUAUCCUGAAAUCCCUUCCAACCUGAAUUAUUCUACCAUUCUGUGUUAUACUGAUGAGAGACCAGAACAGGGCCCAGAUCUUGGAAGGAAAAGCUCCCAGCCCUUUCCAGCACAGAGAAUAUUGAGGUCAACAGCUAAAAAAAUGAAAUACAAUACAUGCCUGAAGGACAGCAUCCCGUGGCAGUGACCCACAUUCCAGCAGUUUGUAGGGAACUGUUGCCUGUAGGAUGGACCCACGUCGGAGAAGUUCAUGGAGAACUGACUCCCAUGGGAGGGACCCCACAGUGCAGCAGGGGAAGGACUCCGCUUCCUGAGCAGUGGCAGAAACAAUGUGUGCUGAACUGACCAUAACUCCCCAUGCCCUGCUUCCCUGCAUCUCUCAGGGGGAGGAGGUAGAGGGGGGAAGGAGGAAGAGGU